rnacentral:lncRNA from 1 species
AUAUCAUCUAUAAGUGCUUUUUGGUGCAUUUUACACAUGCAUGAGGCUUGUUGGCAAGUUGUUGGACACUCGUGAAGUGUCGGUUUGAUGUAAAGGUUGAGCCUUUAUCUUACACCCCUUAUAUGUAACACCUCAGACUUCUGACAGAAUCCCAUAUCGACAAAACACUUGAGGAAUGAUGGUAUAUAAGUUAACAAGCCUUAAACUCUAGUGACGCAUUUUAAACCCGUACGGGCCUAAACCCAAAGCGGACAAUAUCACUAGUGGACUGGGCUGUUACAUAUGAUAUCAAAUCCACUCUUAUGUCAGCCAUGCCAAUGGUGGGUCGGAGUUCAACUGAGUUUACACAAAUCUAGAUUAUGCGGGAAAAACUUCAGUGCUGAGUCUUGGCAAAUCCUAUGCAGUGCAGCAAACCUCAGCGAGAACUCUGAGUUCAUAAGGGGGUGUAUGUAACACCCCGUACUUUACACAAAAUCCCACAUCGACAAAACACAAGAGGGAUGCUAGAUAUAUAAAUUAACAAGUCUUAAACCCUAGUAACGCAUUAUAAACUCGUAAGGGCCUAGGCCUAAAGCGAACAAUAUCACUAGCGAGCUGGACUGUUACAUUAUAUUAGGCUCUUAUUGAUGCAUCCUUUGUAUGUG